AUAAAGCUGACAAGCUCACCGCGCAAGGGGAGUCAUUCAGCAAUAGACAAGCUCACCGGGCAAGG
rnacentral:SRP_RNA from 1 species